UACGUAGGGGCAAGCGUUAUCCGGAUUUACUGGGCGUAAAGAGCUCGUAGGCGGUUUGUCGCGUCGUCCGUGAAAACCUGGGGCUUAAACCCUGGGCGUGCGGGCGAUACGGGCAGACUUGAGUACUGCAGGGGAGACUGGAAUUCCUGGUGUAGCGGUGAAAUGCGCAGAUAUCAGGAGGAACACCGGUGGCGAAGGCGGGUCUCUGGGCAGUAACUGACGCUGAGGAGCGAAAGCAUGGGUAGCGAACAGGAUUAGAUACCCCGGUAGUCCCUGAG
rnacentral:rRNA from 1 species